ensembl:antisense Gm16794 uncharacterized LOC110327931
GAUCUGCCCAUUAGGUGAGCUCAGGUUUAAAAUGCCAGUUGAUUGAGGUGUGGACUUGCGGAUGGUAUGAGAACGUUUAAGAGACAGUUGGUUAGAUUUAUGUUAACUUGAAACAUGGCAGAGUCGUUGGAAAGAGAAACCUCAACUGAGAAAAAUGCUGCUUCCAGAUUGGCCUGUGGGAAUAUUUUGAUUACUGAUCAAUGCAGGAGGGCCCAUCUGAAUGUGUGCUGCUGCCACCCCUGGGCCGAUGGUCUUUCGGUAUGUGAAAAAGGCUGAGUGAACUAGCCAGAAAGCAACAUUGCUUCAGAGCUUCUUCAGUUCCUGCCUCAAGUUCCUUUGAUGAUGGACUGUGAUGUGGAAGUCUAGAUCUACGGACUUUGUCAUCUUCCUGUGACAGCUGAUGGCAACCCAAAGAAGACAGGUCAUUGAAACCAAAAUUACCUUCUAAUCUUCCUCCAGAAUUGUAAAAGGAGAAAAAAUUUGAUGUUCUUAAAGAUGUAUCCAUUAGCCUUAAUUUACUCUCAAGGACCCACUCUAGUACUAUUUGUUGUAGCUGUUAUUUAGUUGCUAGGACCUGAAAUCAGGACCUAGAACAUACUGGCAUAUCUGUUGGAACCUACUUCUUCAGGGCUCCAGCUUAUACAGAAGACAAGCGAAUCUCCUAGCCUCGCAGGACUGAGCAACUACUAGACUCUUGGACUUCCCAUUCACAGCUGCCUAUUGGGUUGGUUGGACUGGAGACUCAAGUCAUUCCAAUAAAUUCCCUUAAUAUAUACAUUCCAUAAGUUCUGUGACUUUAGAGAAUCCUGACUAAUUAAUGAAAAAGGAUUUGAUACUACAAAUGACCCGUUUCUUACCAUACUUUUGCCUUAAUUUUUUCUUUUUAAAAAUCUGGGACAUGAUAUCAUUUGCAGCCAUGGCUGACACUGAACUCAGGUUCCUCCUGUCCUGGACUUUCGGAGUGCUGGGAUCACAGGCAAACAUCACCACAGUUAACUACCUUCGUCUAUUCCUAUUAGAACCCGUUUAUAAUAAUUGCCUAGUUCAUAAUAUUCUGUUUCCUCCGUUUUGCAUUAUUCAUUCCAAUUUUACUACAAUAAAGACUUUUUCUACUUACUUGUUUUGAAAGUAUUUGAUUAUAUAAGUAUGAAGGUACAUUUAUUUUAUUUCAUGGGUUAUAAUUAAUUAUGAUCAACAUUUUUCUAAAGCUAUCCGAAGCUAGGACAGCUUUCUAAUUUUCUGACAGAAAACUAACUAUUGUGAUUCAUAGAAUAUUUGCUUAUUUGCUAUCGGCCAAUGAAGUAAUUUCAUAAUUGCUAACAAAUAUUUCAGAAAAGUAAAUGUUCAGAUUUUUUUUUUUUUUUUUUUUUGGUAAGCUAACUCAAAAGUUUUUCACACU